rnacentral:tRNA from 1 species
GCUGCGUUGGUCAAAGGGCAAAGACGUCUCCCUUUCACGGAGAAAUUACAGGUUCGAAUCCUGUACGCAGUA